AGCUCCAAUAGCGUAUACUAAUGUUGUUGCAGUUAAAAAGCUCGUAGUCGGAUUUCAGUAUAUGAUUCGCCGCUCAAAUUGAGUUGGUUAAUCAGUACUUCUUUGGCAGGAACUUUCAUGUCAUUAAUUUGAUGUGUUUGGGGACUGCCUCUUUUACUUUGAGAAAAUUAGAGUGUUCAAAGCGGGUUCUCGCCUGAAUAUUACUCUUGGAAUAAUACUAUAGGACUCCGGUUCUUUUUUGUUGGUGAUUUAGGACCGGAGUAAUGAUUGAUAGGGACAGUUGGGGUCAUUCGUACUGCAAAGCGAGUGGUGAAAUACUUGGACCUUUGUAUGACGAACUACUGCGAAAGCAUUUGACUAGGAUGUUCCCG
rnacentral:rRNA from 1 species